rnacentral:tRNA from 1 species
CAGAUAGUAGUUUAAUUGAAAAUAUUAGCAUUGGAAGCUAGCGAUCAAGGUUUCUUGCUGUCUGA